rnacentral:pre_miRNA from 1 species
UUAGAAGAACAGGGGUUUCUUUCGGCCUCCAGCAGUUUUCGAGUUGUAGGCCGGCGGAAACUACUUGCUCUUCAUC